rnacentral:rRNA from 1 species
AAGCAGCCAGCUUGCUGGAAGCGGAAGAGGGAAAGGCUUAGUGGCGGACGGGUGAGUAACGCGUGGGUAACCUGGCCCAUACAGGGGGAUAACACUUAGAAAUAGGUGCUAAUACCGCAUAACAACAGAAAGCGCAUGCUUUUUGUUUGAAAACCAAGGUGGUAUGGGAUGGACCCGCAUCUGAUUAGCUGGUUGGCGGGGUAAAGGCCCACCAAGGCGACGAUCAGUAGCCGGCCUGAGAGGGUGGACGGCCACAUUGGGACUGAGACACGGCCCAAACUCCUACGGGAGGCAGCAGUGGGGAAUAUUGCACAAUGGGGGAAACCCUGAUGCAGCGACGCCGCGUGAGUGAAGAAGUAAUUCGUUAUGUAAAGCUCUAUCAGCAGGGAAGAAAAUGACGGUACCUGAGUAAGAAGCCCCGGCUAACUACGUGCCAGCAGCCGCGGUAAUACGUAGGGGGCAAGCGUUAUCCGGAUUUACUGGGUGUAAAGGGAGCGUAGACGGCAGUGCAAGUCUGGAGUGAAAGGCGGGGGCUCAACCCCCGGACUGCUCUGGAAACUGUACGGCUGGAGUGCAGGAGAGGUAAGUGGAAUUCCUAGUGUAGCGGUGAAAUGCGUAGAUAUUAGGAGGAACACCAGUGGCGAAGGCGGCUUACUGGACUGUAACUGACGUUGAGGCUCGAAAGCGUGGGGAGCAAACAGGAUUAGAUACCCUGGUAGUCCACGCCGUAAACGAUGAUCACUAGGUGUCGGGGGUUAAAGAACCUUCGGUGCCGCA